rnacentral:rRNA from 1 species
UACGGAGGGUGCAAGCGUUAUCCGGAUUCACUGGGUUUAAGGGUGCGUAGGUGGGUCUGUAAGUCAGUGGUGAAAUCUUCGAGCUUAACUCGGAAACUGCCAUUGAUACUAUAGAUCUUGAAUUUUCUGGAGGUAAGCGGAAUAUGUCAUGUAGCGGUGAAAUGCUUAGAUAUGACAUAGAACACCAAUUGCGAAGGCAGCUUACUACGGGAACAUUGACACUGAGGCACGAAAAGCGUGGGGGAUCAAAACAGG